rnacentral:tRNA from 1 species
GCUGAAUUAGCUCAGUUGGUUAGAGCGUCCCUCUGAUAUGGGGAAGGUCGUUGGUUCAAAUCCAUCAUUCAGUACCA